CUGAAGCAUAAAGAGCAAUAAAAAAGAAUAGAAAGUACAGAAAAAGCAUAAGAACAUAAAAAACUUCUAACAUGUUUUUUAAUUGUAGAAGGACAGAAGCAAGACUGGGGUAAAAGCAAUAUUUGAAGAGAUCAUAUGUGAAAACAUUAUAAUAAUGAAAAAUAAUAAGAAACACUACAAAGCCAAACAAUAAAUACAAAUCAACCAUAAUUACAAUUUUUUAAAUUUUUAAAGCAGUCAGAAAUAAGAAACUUUAUUUUCAAAUGAACAAGAUGGUGAGAUAAUUUAUCCAUGGAAUUUAUGAAUGCCAGCAGAAAAUAUAAUAAUUGGCUGAGUACAGUGGUUCGCACUUGUAAUCCCAGCACUUUGGGAGGCCAGGAUGGGGGGAUCACUUGAGCCCAGGAGUUCGAGACUAGGCUAGGCAACAUAGGGAGACCUUGUCUCAAAUAAAAUAAAAUAAAAUGAAAUAAUAAAAUAAAAUAUAAAAUAAUAAAAUAAAAUAAAAUAGAAUGAUGUGUUGUAAUAACUAGAAUUCUACAUCCAGCCAGCAAAAAUAGUGUUUAAAGGCGAAAGCAAAAUAAAGACUUUAGAUAACAAAAACCUAAAGAAUUGGACAACAAAACACCUGUACCAAUACAAAUAUUGAAGAAAAAUUUUCAGGCAAAAAUAAAAUGAUCCCAGAUGAACUCAUGAAAAUACAGCAAAAAAUAAACAAUUGAAAGGGUCAAACUAUAAAGUUUCAGAAGAGUUUAUUGGAGUAUAUUUAAUAACCUUGGAGUAAGGAGAAAUUUCUUAAGACCCCCCGAAAAAGGAAAAUAUCAAAAAGUUGCCAUUAAAAUUAAGAAUCUCUAGUCUUCAUAUCAUAAAGAGAGUAAAAAUACAAAAUUCAAGUUUUGAAAAUAAAUUUUUGAUAUAUAUAACUGACAAAGGAAGAUAUAAAUCUAGAAUAUAUAAACACUUCCUAAAGUCAAUAAGAAAGAGACUAGCAAUGUAGUAGAUAGAUGGGUAGAAGUGGGAACACAAACGUGACCCCAACACCACAUGAAAAGAUGAUCAGUCACAUUAGUAAUAAGGGCAAUGCAAAAUGAAACCACAAUGAGAUGCCACUUCGCACCCAGCCAUUGGCAAAAAUUAUUAAGUUAGGUAAGUACCAGUUUCAACGAGAAUGUGGGCCUAUCAAUACUCUUACAUAUUUCUGGUGAGAGAUACCUGUGUAUCUCAAGGCACAUACAAAAGAGUUCAUGAUCGCAAAAACAAAAAA
rnacentral:lncRNA from 1 species